GCAAGUCGAACGUGAAGGCCGAGAUGAUUACUUCGGUUUGAUUCUUCGGUUGGAAAGUGGCGAACGGGUGAGUAACACGUAGGUAACCUGCCUCGAAGUGGGGGACAACCAUUGGAAACGAUGGCUAAUACCGCAUAGUCCUAUUUUUGUGAGAACAUGAAUGGGUAAAACUCCGGUGCUUCGAGAGGGGCCUGCGGCCGAUUAGCUAGUUGGUGGGGUAAAAGCCCACCAAGGCGACGAUGGUUAGCGGGUCUGAGAGGAUGAUC
rnacentral:rRNA from 1 species